UACGUAGGGUGCAAGCGUUAAUCGGAAUUACUGGGCGUAAAGGGCCAGUAGGCGGCCAACUAAGUCGGAUGUGAAAUCCCCAGGCUUAACCUGGGAACUGCAUCCGAUACUGGAUGGCUUGAAUUCGGGAGAGGGAUGCAGAAUUCCAGGUGUAGCGGUGAAAUGCGUAGAUAUCUGGAGGAAUACCGGUGGCGAAGGCGGCAUCCUGGACCGACAUUGACGCUGAACGGCGAAAGCUAGGGGAGCAAACGGG
rnacentral:rRNA from 1 species